UCUUUCUCACCUAAUCUUUACCCGUGCGACUUCUACCUAAGCACUCUUAGAUAUGAGAACCCACUCAUUCCCCCUCAAUCACACCUGUGAUUUUAAACAACAAUUCCUUAUGAGAAGAAGACACUCUUCAAUUACACACACUUGAUUUUACUUAGCAGUUUCAAUCAAGUAGACACACACUUGAUCUUGCUUAACAGCUUUGAUCAAGUAGACACACACUUGAUCUUUCUUACAAGCUUAGAGUGACAAUUUAC
rnacentral:lncRNA from 1 species